rnacentral:pre_miRNA from 1 species
AGAGAUUGUAGUUUUAUACUGUUUAUGCCUAACGUUUAAUCGUCCGUCUUAUUUGAUUUUUUUUAUUAUUAGUAUUUUUAUUGUUAUUAGAUGGUAAAACAUGAAUAGCAUUUUGUGUGUGAUUAAUUUUUUAUAAAAUUUUCAAAUAUCAAACGUUUUACACGGAAAUCCACAACUACACUUAAA